GUUGCCGUUGGCGGUAGCAUGCUCGGAGGAUCGUGUUAAUCGCUGUUCAACACGAUCCUCGACUUGAUAUAAUCGAUUCAAACAGGGUAACCCUGGAACUAUUUUAAGAAAUACGCGUUCACCAGUAUAUACAUAUUCAGGAAGUCAUAUAAGUCUGCUAUCAGAGGAUUCGCUGAAUCGUAAGAAAUCGUAAAGAAAUUUCUUAUUUAUUUUGAUUCCUCUAUGAUGCUGGUAUUACAGAAUUGUUGAGACUUAGAAAAUAAUUUACAGUAGAGAGAUCUUCGAAGAUUUAUAAGGGAAGCACCUUCGUAUAUAGAUAGUUAAAAAUUAGAUAGCAGGCAAUUUGAUGUGUUGUCUUGAAUUCGAAGCGUCAUCGGCGAUGCACGGCAAGUGCUACAAAAUUCCAUUAAUCUUCAAGAGGCUGAUAUUACGCGUCGACUACUAUCUACAAACCAUACAACAACGUCUAAAUAACUUAUGUGAAACCAGAACACGUCUAUGCAAUUACAACGUUGCAACUGCGCUAUGUGUACAUAGCUAUACGAGAGCCAUUUUAAUAAUCUCCAUGCAACUAGAACAAAUAUCGUGAGAAUGUAUAAUUAAUAACCCAGAAUGCGUCUCGAUUAAGUAAGUGUAGAAAAAUCUCAAGUCCAUCGAUGUUCGACCUACAUUCUGCUUAAUCUGCCUUAUCAAGGAAGAGGAGGCAGCCAACAUUUUCCUCUAUACUCUAUCUAUAGUAUUCGCGCGAAUCGUCUGGCUUUGUCAUUCUCCAGGCAUUCAACUGGAUGGAGGGGAGGGCUGGUAGACCUAUCUAACAGAAGACUCUUCUAUCAUCGGGAUCCCCAGGCCUUCCUACACGCGUUCCCGGAUGCGCGAAUGGGAGCAACAGUUGAACCACGCGGGUCAACGUCCAAUACGAUCUCUCCUUUUCUCUCUCUAACUCUCCCUCUUUUCUCUUCCCAUCUGCUUUCGUCUCCGGCUGUACACAACAGCGUGGCUGCCAAGUACCUCACACCAAGUGUGUACUUCGAACGAAGUCCCUGGCACGGCCCAACGGUCUUUAGAAAACGGCGAGAAAGAAUGGCAGAAGCCACGAAAGGUCUAGGCGGGCGUGCAACGUGUGUCGACGAUCGCCGUUGGAACGCUUGUUGGAAUUGCACCUGCCAAGACUUCGUUCCAACGAGUGCUCGUACACGCUUUGUUUCUAGCAUAACCGUUCUGUGUUUGCUUAUUCGUCGUGCUUCCACGUCCAAAAUCAUUUCUGCCAGCAAAUUUCCACAUAGACCAAAUGUUUGUUUCAUAUAAUACAUUUGUUGUUCUCACUUAUUCCUGCGAGAAUGAAAUACAGGAUGGUUCUCUAACUAGAGGCCUCGAAAGAAGAAGUCGUUGAUCGAACAUUUGUUGCGACAUCAAAGAUGAUACAUAUUGUCUGCGCCGUGUAUGUGUGAUCGAUAGACUGCGGAUUUUUAUACAUUUA